AGUUUGAUCCUGGCUCAGGACGAACGCUGGCGGCGCGCCUAACACAUGCAAGUCGAACGAGCGAGAGAGAGCUUGCUUUCUCGAGCGAGUGGCGAACGGGUGAGUAACGCGUGAGGAACCUGCCUCAAAGAGGGGGACAACAGUUGGAAACGACUGCUAAUACCGCAUAAGCCCACGGCUCGGCAUCGAGCAGAGGGAAAAGGAGCAAUCCGCUUUGAGAUGGCCUCGCGUCCGAUUAGCUAGUUGGUGUGGAGUAACGCCCCACCAAGGGACUAUCGUACCCGGAUGAGAGUUGACCCCCACUUGGGGAUGAACACGGCCCCAGAUUCUUGGGGGAGCACCAGUGGGAAUUUUGCACAAUGGGGGAAACCCUGGAUGCAGCGACGCCGCGUGGAAGAAGAAGUUCUUCGGAUUGUAAACUCCUGUUGUUGGGGAAGAUAAUGACGGUACCCAACAAGGAAGUGACGGCUAACUACGUGCCAGCAGCCGCGGUAAAACGUAGGUCACAAGCGUUGUCCGGAAUUACUGGGUGUAAAGGGAGCGCAGGCGGGAAGACAAGUUGGAAGUGAAAUCUAUGGGCUCAACCCAUAAACUGCUUUCAAAACUGUUUUUCUUGAGUAGUGCAGAGGUAGGCGGAAUUCCCGGUGUAGCGGUGGAAUGCGUAGAUAUCGGGAGGAACACCAGUGGCGAAGGCGGCCUACUGGGCACCAACUGACGCUGAGGCUCGAAAGUGUGGGUAGCAAACAGGAUUAGAUACCCUGGUAGUCCACACCGUAAACGAUGAUUACUAGGUGUUGGAGGAUUGACCCCUUCAGUGCCGCAGUUAACACAAUAAGUAAUCCACCUGGGGAGUACGACCGCAAGGUUGAAACUCAAAGGAAUUGACGGGGGCCCGCACAAGCAGUGGAGUAUGUGGUUUAAUUCGACGCAACGCGAAGAACCUUACCAAGUCUUGACAUCCCUUGACAGACAUAGAAAUAUGUAAUCUCUUCGGAGCAAGGAGACAGGUGGUGCAUGGUUGUCGUCAGCUCGUGUCGUGAGAUGUUGGGUUAAGUCCCGCAACGAGCGCAACCCUUAUGGUCAGUUACUACGCAAGAGGACUCUGGCCAGACUGCCGUUGACAAAACGGAGGAAGGUGGGGAUGACGUCAAAUCAUCAUGCCCUUUAUGACUUGGGCUACACACGUACUACAAUGGCGUUAAACAAAGAGAAGCAAGACCGCGAGGUGGAGCAAAACUCAGAAACAACGUCCCAGUUCGGACUGCAGGCUGCAACUCGCCUGCACGAAGUCGGAAUUGCUAGUAAUCGUGGAUCAGCAUGCCACGGUGAAUACGUUCCCGGGCCUUGUACACACCGCCCGUC
rnacentral:rRNA from 1 species